UACGGAGGGGACUAGCGUUGUUCGGAAUUACUGGGCGUAAAGCGCACGUAGGCGGAUUUGUAAGUCAGGGGUGAAAUCCCGGGGCUCAACCUCGGAACUGCCUUUGAUACUGCAAAUCUCGAGUCCGGAAGAGGUGAGUGGAAUUCCUAGUGUAGAGGUGAAAUUCGUAGAUAUUAGGAAGAACACCAGUGGCGAAGGCGGCUCACUGGGACGGUACUGACGCUGAGACGCGAAAGCGUGGGGAGCGAACAGG
rnacentral:rRNA from 1 species